GACGAACGCUGGCGGCGUGCUUAACACAUGCAAGUCGAACGGAAAGGCCCUGCUUUUGUGGGGUGCUCGAGUGGCGAACGGGUGAGUAACACGUGAUUAACCUGCCCUUGACUUUUGGAUAACUUCAGGAAACUGGGGCUCAUACCGGAUAGUAGCUCCUGCUGCAUGGUGGGUGUUGGAAAGUUUCGGCGGUUGGGGAUGGACUCGCGGCUUAUCAGCUUGUUGGUGGGGUAGUGGCUUACCAAGGCUUUGACGGGUAGCCGGCCUGAGAGGGUGACCGGCCACAUUGGGACUGAGAUACGGACCAGACUCCUACGGGAGGCAGCAGUGGGGAAUAUUGCACAAUGGGCGGAAGCCUGAUGCAGCAACGCCGCGUGCGGGAUGACGGCCUUCGGGUUGUAAACCGCUUUCGCCUGUGACGAAGCGUGAGUGACGGUAAUGGGUAAAGAAGCACCGGCUAACUACGUG
rnacentral:rRNA from 1 species